GGCUCGGUGGUGGACGGUUCACGCUCACAAUAACUAGAUAAUUGUUGAUGAGACAUGGAUACUUGCGAGAGGCGCCCGUUCGACUCGGGUCCGAGCCG